GUGUCAGCCGCCGCGGUAAUACGUAGGGGGCGAGCGUUGUCCGGAAUUACUGGGUGUAAAGGGCGUGUAGGCGGGGGAGUAAGUCAGAUGUGAAAUACCACGGCUCAACCGUGGGGGUGCAUCUGAAACUAUUUCUCUUGAGUGCUGGAGAGGAAAGCGGAAUUCCUAGUGUAGCGGUGAAAUGCGUAGAUAUUAGGAGGAACACCAGUGGCGAAGGCGGCUUUCUGGACAGCAACUGACGCUGAGGCGCGAAAGCGUGGGGAGCAAACAGGAUUAGAUACCCUGGUAAUCCACGCCGUAAACGAUGGAUACUAGGUGUAGGAGGUAUCGACCCCUUCUGUGCCGGAGUUAACACAAUAAGUAUCCCACCUGGGGAGUACGGCCGCAAGGCUGAAACUUAAAGAAAUUGACGG
rnacentral:rRNA from 1 species